AGAGCGAACGCUGGCGGCAGGCCUAACACAUGCAAGUCGAACGGAUCCUUCGGGAUUAGUGGCAGACGGGUGAGUAACGCGUGGGAACGUGCCCUUUGGUUCGGAACAACACAGGGAAACUUGUGCUAAUACCGGAUGUGCCCUUCGGGGGAAAGAUUUAUCGCCAUUGGAGCGGCCCGCGUUGGAUUAGGUAGUUGGUGAGGUAAAGGCUCACCAAGCCUACGAUCCAUAGCUGGUCUGAGAGGAUGAUCAGCCACACUGGGACUGAGACACGGCCCAGACUCCUACGGGAGGCAGCAGUGGGGAAUCUUGCGCAAUGGGCGAAAGCCUGACGCAGCCAUGCCGCGUGAAUGAUGAAGGUCUUAGGAUUGUAAAAUUCUUUCAGCAGGGACGAUAAUGACGGUACCUGCAGAAGAAGCCCCGGCUAACUUCGUGCCAGCAGCCGC
rnacentral:rRNA from 1 species